GCCAUUACUUCUAUCUUGGGCAUUCCUAUCUUGAGCCUAAGUGCUGUAUUGGGGGCACACCUUGGAGCCACCAGUAUGGACCUUAGAAAUAUUGUUUGCAUAGGUUUGAGAGCAUUUUCCUUCAUAUACAGUAAAGCUCUGCCUGUGCUCCAUAUAAGAUUUGAGCAAGGGUUUUAGCCUCAAACAUUUUUACAGCGGCUGCUAUUAAUUCCCUUGAUUUGGUAUAAAAGAACCUCCUAGUAGCAAUGGAAGAUUUUGAAGCUGUUUGGGCAAUGUGUUCCUAGUGGGCUUUCCAAAUUCCCUGGCCAUGGAAAAGCAUUCCCAAAUAUCUAAAGGGAAAUGAUAUGAAAGCCAGAAACAUCCACCUGGAAAUUAAUGUAUGGAAGCAGCUCACACAUGGAAUAAAGCAUUGUGUAUCUCUCUUUAAGCUCCCCUUCGGAUCUGCAGCAAAAACAAACCGGCAUUUCAUAAUCCAGUCACCUUGUCCUGCUGAGCUGUGGAAACAUCCUAAAAUUAACAGCAGUGAUAAAUAACUGUUUUACUAGAGAAUUUCAGUGGAUAUAAUAUGGUGCCAAUGCCUUCAGAGAUGAAGUAGAUAUGCUGAAUGCCCCUCUAUUAUAGCAAUCUCCCAAUGCUGUGUGGAACAGUU